GCAUAUCAAUAAGCGGAGGAAAAGAAAAUAACAAUGAUUCCCCUAGUAACUGCGAGUGAAGAGGGACAAGCUCAAAUUUUAAAUCUGUUAGGUAUCACCUGGCCGAGUUGUAAUUUGAAGAAGCGUUUUCUGCGUCCUUGGUCAGCCCAAGUCCUAUUGAAUGAGGCAUCAUGGAGGGUGAUAAUCCCGUCCGGUUGAUCAAUGCGUUUUACGAUACGCUCUCAAAGAGUCAAGUUGUUUGGGAUUGCAGCUUAAAAUGGGAGGUAAAUUUCUCCUAAGGCUAAAUAUUGGCGAGAGACCGAUAGCGAACAAGUACCGUGAGGGAAAGAUGAAAAGAACUUUGAAAAGAGAGUAAAAUAGUGCGUGAAAUUGUUGAAAGGGAAACGAUUGAAGUCAGUCGUACCGACGGACAAUCAGCCUUUUGAGUGCGAUUCUGUGGUGCAUGAGGAGGAAACCCUCAUGUUUUGCAUAUUUGUGCUCUUUGGGUGUACUUGUUCGUAUGGUGGGUUAACAUCAAUUUUGGUCGUCAUAAAAUGACGGGAGGAAAGUAGCUUUGGUCUCGUAUUGAAGUGUUAUAGCCUCUGGUAGAUGUGACGACCGGGAUUGAGGAUUGCAACGGAUACCCUUUUGGGCUACUCGCCUGAUCUCUGAUCGUUACUCUGGUGCCGAAAGCUUGCUUAUGUCAUCAAAGUUGAUGGUCAAAAGGUUAGAACGGGUUAAAUUCGUUAAGGAUGUUGACGUA
rnacentral:rRNA from 1 species